rnacentral:rRNA from 1 species
GAACGCUGGCGGCAUGCUUUACACAUGCAAGUCGAACGGCAGCACGGGUGCUUGCUCCUGGUGGCGAGUGGCGAACGGGUGAGUAAUACAUCGGAACGUACCCUGAAGUGGGGGAUAACGUAGCGAAAGUUACGCUAAUACCGCAUAUUCUGUGAGCAGGAAAGAGGGGGAUCGCAAGACCUCUUGCUUUAGGAGCGGCCGAUGUCGGAUUAGCUAGUUGGUGAGGUAAAGGCUCACCUAGGCGACGAUCCGUAGCGGGUCUGAGAGGAUGAUCCGCCACACUGGGACUGAGACACGGCCCAGACUCCUACGGGAGGCAGCAGUGGGGAAUUUUGGACAAUGGGCGCAAGCCUGAUCCAGCCAUGCCGCGUGAGUGAAGAAGGCCUUCGGGUUGUAAAGCUCUUUCGGCCGGGAAGAAAUCGUGUUCUCUAACAUAGGGCAUGGAUGACGGUACCGGACCAAGAAGCACCGGCUAACUACGUG